rnacentral:rRNA from 1 species
AGAUUGAACGCUGGCGGCGUGCCUAACACAUGCAAGUCGAGCGGUAACAGGUGUAGCAAUACAUGCUGACGAGCGGCGAACGGGUGAGUAAUGCUUUGGAAUCUUCCCAGUAGUGGGGAAUAACCAGUCGAAAGAUUGGCUAAUACCGCAUACGUCUGUAAAGGGAAAGCGGGGGCUCGUAAGACCUCGCGCUAUUGGAUGAGCCAAAGUCGGAUUAGCUAGUUGGUGGGGUAAUGGCCUACCAAGGCGACAAUCCGUAGCUGGUCUGAGAGGACGACCAACCACACCGGAACUGAGACACGGUCCGGACUCCUACGGGAGGCAGCAGUGGGGAAUAUUGGACAAUGGGGGAAACCCUGAUCCAGCGACGCCGCGUGUGUGAAGAAGGCCUGCGGGUUGUAAAGCACUUUUAGUGGGGACAAAAAGCUACGGAUUAAUACUCUGUGGUCUUGAUUUAACCCAAAGAAAAGCACCGGCUAACUCUGUGCCAGCAGCCGC